rnacentral:rRNA from 1 species
UACGGAGGAUGCAAGCGUUAUCCGGAAUGAUUGGGCGUAAAGCGUCCGCAGGUGGCGAUGUAAGUCUGCUGUUAAAGAGCAAAGCUUAACUUUGUAAAAGCAGUGGAAACUACAUCGCUAGAGUGCGUUCGGGGCAGAGGGAAUUCCUGGUGUAGCGGUGAAAUGCGUAGAGAUCAGGAAGAACACCGGUGGCGAAGGCGCUCUGCUAGGCCGCAACUGACACUGAGGGACGAAAGCUAGGGGAGCGAAUGGG